CUGGUUGAUCCUGCCAGUAGUCAUAUGCUUGUCUCAAAGAUUAAGCCAUGCAUGUCUAAGUAUAAAUAACUACACAGUAAAACUGCGAAUGGCUCAUUAAAACAGUUAUAGUUUAUUUGAUACAUUAAAUGGAUAACUGUAGAAAAACUAGAGCUAAUACAUGCCAAAACCGCAAGGUUGUAUUUAUUAGAUAUACCAAUUAGGUGAAUCAUAAUAACUUCGCAAAUCGCAACAUCGUUGCGAUAAAUCAUUCAAGUUUCUGCCCUAUCAUGCUUUCGAUGGUAGUGUAUUGGACUACCAUGGCUCUCACGGGUAACGGGGAAUUAGGGUUCGAUUCCGGAGAAGGAGCCUGAGAAACGGCUACUACAUCUAAGGAAGGCAGCAGGCGCGUAAAUUACCCAAUCCUGACUCAGGGAGGUAGUGACAAGAUAUAACGACGCGACUAAAAAUCGCGAUUGUAGUGAGGGUAUUCUAAACACAGAGACCACUAGUACGAUUGGAGGGCAAGUCUGGUGCCA
rnacentral:rRNA from 1 species